GGCGCCAGGCGCUCCGGCCGCAAGGGAGCAGGGAGCCCUGCCAGCUGGGCCACCCGAGGGGCGUUGCGGGGCUCCGGGCGGGGCCGACCCGGGGGGCUCCGUCGGGCCCCACCAGCCUUGCGCCUUUUUCGCUCGGUCUCCUUGGCCUCCCGCUCCUGCGACGCCGCUUUCCUUUUCUCUUGCUCCCGAGCUCGGACCUCGGCCAGGGGCCCCGCCCGCCAGUUGGUCGCCUCCUGCAGCACCCUGGAGGCCCAGGGCCGGCGGGGCGGCGGCUGUGGGGAUCCCGGGCGCGGCCCACACCUGGGACAAUGAGCAGGAACCCAGGGAAUGUGACUUCACUGGACGCAGUAUAAAGAUCUUCAGAUGUCCUCCUGCCGGGGAUUGCAGGGAUCACAGAAAGACCAUCGAGGUCCAGGAGCUACCUGCAAGCGGAGAUCCCUCUGGACGCCCCGUGCCUCACCCAGCAAAGCCGGCUCACAACCCUGCGCUCUCAAACCUCUAAAAGGGCUUGAGGUGCCAAUAGGAAAGGAGGCCUGAGAUUGCCACGGCAUACGUGGGCCCCAAGAAGGGAGCCAGGAGUCACUGCCUGCUUGGGCUAAGGGUACCGCGUACGGAAAGGCGGCGGGGACGCGGCCCAGUUCUAGGAGAUGCGCCCAACGAAGAAGCGGAGGGACAGGGUCACGGGAUAGGGCAGACACCCGGCUGCUUUUUGUUUGCUAGACACCAGCGCCAGCCCCUGCCCGGCCCUCCCGGUCUCCUAAGGGCGGGGGGGGUCUUAGGCUCCACAGCGCCCCCGACCGCCCUCCUGCACUCCUCACCGUCUCCAUUGCAAGAGGCGCCCGGCUUGGUUUCCUCGCUUUAGGAAACUCUCUUGGGGCAGGCCCCGCCCCACAUCCGGUGCGGCGACGCCACUUCCGCCCACGUCAUGGCAGUCGCCAGACUGGGGCGAAAGGCAAGGAACCCACCCUUCCGGCGGUGGCGGGCCUCGGUAACCGCCCUCCCCCGGGUCCUCACGGACCGCACGGAUCCGGCUGACGGCGAGGGUCAUGGGACGGAGGCGCUUGUAUUUAAAAUGUUCUUUUUUUAUUUGUCGUUUAAAAACAAACUUGGAAGAAGCAAAAUCCAAAACUUGCCCUUUGCCUCUCGCAACAUAAAUAUGUACAGUUCAGAAUGAUCGCUGAUACAAAACAUGCCAAGGACAGGGGCGCUGAGGGUGGAGGGAGAGAGGGCGCUUUAAAAAAGGGAACCAUUUCAUCCGUUGUUACAAAGGACCAACCUUGCUGUACAGGAUACACACAACACAAAAUAAAGUCUUCACGGGA
rnacentral:antisense_RNA from 1 species